rnacentral:rRNA from 1 species
AUGACUGGACGAAACCAAGAAAUAACCCCUUAUGUGCGAAAUUAUAGAAGAUCCCCUUUAAGAUCAAACAAUUCCAUCGAAUUGAGUAUGACUGUAUGUGUGAUAGCAUCUACUAUACCAGGAAUAUCAAUGAACCCCAUUCUUGCGAAAAAUUGGAUCGGAUUUUGCAGUUCUUUUUUCUGCAGUACCUCGACGUGA